rnacentral:lncRNA from 1 species
GUCGAACAAACCAUCAGAUAAACCAUUCAAUAUGUGGCCCAUGCACAUGUAAUCAGCAUUGUCCCAUUUUUGUCUUUCUCGGGUUGCAGCAAUAGAUUCAUUUUCAUUCUCUUCAGGUCUUGGAGUAUCCAAAACAUAAGCAAUCUUCAAAGUUGAUAACAAAAAGUGCAUCUUUUUCUGCCAUCGUCGAAAAUUGCCACCAUCAAAACGAUCAAGUUUAACAAAGUUGGAAGCCAAC